CUCAGCGGGCAUGAGCAGCAGCAUGUUGCUUGCAUGCAACCCACCCCUGUGCGACAGGAAGUAAACCUUGCUCGUUGCUAAGGAGAUGGGCUUUCUACAUCCGGUUCAUUUGCUUCAUUCUUCCGGGAUCGGUGGUUUCGCUGCUGGCUGGUACUUUCUUUGAGCCAUGAGGGCUAAGUGGCGAAAGAAGCGAAUGCGCAGACUGAAGCGCAAGAGGAGAAAGAUGAGGCAGAGGUCUAAGUAGAAGAUUUCCGGUUACGUUGCCUGAUGUGAUGUGGCUACUGACUGGAUGCAAGACCUCUCCUGAGCUUUUGACAUCCUUCAAAAACCUCUUACUCCUUUGAUUCAACACUAUAAAGACUGGUUCAUUUCCCACGUGAUCUUGUCUGGUUUGAUUUGGAAACUCGUUUUCCCUCCCCUUUCACCUUCAUGUGCUAAAUAAAUCAUUCAUUCGUCUGGGAGCUGACCUGAGCCAUGUUUCUUAAUUAAGGGGGGAGCUUAUUGUAAAUUGUAUAAUCGGAUUGCUUCAGAAACUGUAUCGAAGUGCUGAUGUUUGUUGGCUAAUGUUGAAUGAAUAAAAUGAACAUAGAGAGUUA